rfam:Gossypium raimondii Chr05_contig_932, whole genome shotgun sequence.
AACCCAUGCAUCAAACAAUUAUUAAGUAAUUCCUUAAUUUGUUCCCAAGCUUCAUAUAGUGUUUCAUCCUCUAAUUGCCAAAAAGAUGUGAUGUCAUUUCUAUGCUU